CCAAUAGCGUAUAUUAAAGUUGUUGCAGUUAAAAAGCUCGUAGUUGAAUUUCGGGGUUAGUAGGUUGGUCGUGCCUUUGGUAUGUACUGGCUUUACUGAUUCCUCCUUCUUGAAGAACUGUAAUGUCAUUAAUUUGGUGUUGCAGGGACACAGGACUGUUACUUUGAAAAAAUUAGAGUGUUUAAAGCAGGCCAACGCCUGAAUACAUUAGCAUGGAAUAAUGAAAUAGGACGUUUAAUCCUAUUUUGUUGGUUUCUAGGAUUGACGUAAUGAUUAAUAGGGAUAGUUGGGGGCAUUAGUAUUCAAUUGUCAGAGGUGAAAUUCUUGGAUUUAUUGAAGACUAACUACUGCGAAAGCAUUUGCCAAGGAUGUUUUCAUUAAUCAAGAACGAAAGUUAGGGGAUCGAAGACGAUCAGAUACCGUCGUAGUCUUAACCAUAAACUAUGCCGACUAGGGAUCGGAUGAUGUUAAUUUUUUAAUGACUCAUUCGGCGCCUUACG
rnacentral:rRNA from 1 species